rnacentral:rRNA from 1 species
CCAGCAGCAAUGCUGGUGAAAGUGGCAAACGGGUGAGUAACACGUAGAUACCUGCCUUCGAGUGGGGGAUAACCACGGGAAACUGUGGCUAAUACCGCAUGGUCUUGUUUUUGCGGGAGCAUGAACAAGUAAAGCUUAAGGUGCUCGAAGAGGGGUCUGCGCCCGAUUAGCUAGUUGGUGAGGUAAAGGCUCACCAAGGCUGUGAUCGGUAGCUGGUCUGAGAGGACGAUCAGCCACACGGGAACUGAGACACGGUCCCGACUCCUACGGGGGGCAGCAGUGAGGAAUAUUGGGCAAUGGACGCAAGUCUGACCCAGCAACGCCGCGUGGAGGACGAAGGCUUUCGGGUUGUAAACUCCUUUUGUGGGGGACAAGCAAGGAUGGUACCCCAAGAAUCAGUCACGGCUAACUACGUGCCAGCAGCCGCGGUAAUACGUAGGUGACGAGCGUUAUCCGGAAUUAUUGGGCGUAAAGCGCACGCAAGCGGUUGUUCAAGUCUGACGUGAAAUCUCUUGGCUUAACUGGGAGCGGUCGUUGGAAACUGAGCAGCUUGAGGCGAUGAGAGGGGUGCAGAAUUCCCGGUGUAGUGGUGGAAUGCGUAGAUAUCGGGGGGAAUACCUGUGGCGAAAGCGGCACCCUGGCGUCGUUCUGACGCUCAUGUGCGAAAGCGUGGGGAGCGAACGGGAUUAGAUACCCCGGUAGUCCACGCUGUAAACGAUGAACACUAGGUGUGGGGCGUGUCAAAACGCUCCGUGCCAAAGCCAACGCGUUAAGUGUUCCGCCUGGGAAGUACGGCCGC